rnacentral:lncRNA from 1 species
AUGAUCCCGCCAGACAUGGACCCAGCGGUCUCUGAGGAGAGGCUCAGGAGGGAGAUUAUGGACAGGGUUUACAGACUCUGUGAGUUGUGGUGGGAGAAGCCCGCAGAAGGGUUGCGUCGCGCCGUGGGGAGGCGGCUGCAGGAGACGCUUUUUAAAUUCCCUUGGCUGGUUGACGAUCUCAAUCCUGUCGUCAUGGACUUCCUGCUUUCCACCCUCCACCUCCACUCUCCUCCUCAGGCUGCUCACCAGCCCAGACAGCUGGUGGAUUCAAAGCCUGACACGCCGGCCCCGACGUCUACCCGGAGACGACGUUUGCGCCGCCAGCGUUCCUCACCGCAGCCUAAUCCACGGACAUCUCAAGAGCCGGCUGUGGUGAGCAAUACGGACAUUUUUUCAUUUCCCUCACCAUCUGUUUGUGUGUCUGCAGUGGACGAUGACGCUGCCGUAAGCCAUCCGACGGCGCAAGUAACAUCACCUCGGUCAGAGGUCUCCACACCACUCGCUGCUUCACCAUCUGCAGUUGUAGCGCCGCCGUCAUCUCAUCCGCCUGCAGUCACCCUUCUGCCAUCUUCUUCACCGGCUGCUACGUCACCACUCGGACCUGUCCUGCCCGAGCAGGAGCUCAGCUCGCCGGAGCAGCUGCCGGAGGAGCUCAAGAAGCCGGAGCCGCUCAGGGAGCCGGAGCUGCUGCUGGAGGAGCUCAGGGAGCCAGAGCCGCCGCCGCUGCGUUGCCAGCGGAGGAGCUCGACCAGCGGGAGGAGCCUGUGCUGCCAGCGGAAGACCUCGGCAAGCCGGUGGGACCCGCUCAGCCGAAGCUGGAGGUUAGCGAGCUGGAGCUGGAGCUCAGUGAGCAGGAGCAGGAGCUCAGAGAGCGGGAGGAGCCCGCACCGCCAGCUGCGAAGCCCUGCGAGCCGGAGCAUUAGCUCGGAGAGCGGGAGGAGCCCGCACCGCCAGCUGAGGAGCUCAGCGUGCCGGAGGAGCCAGCGCCGCUGCCGGAGGAGCUCAACGAGCCGGAGGGACCGGCGUUGCCAGCAGAGGAGCUCGGCCAGCGGAGGACCUCAGCAAGCCGGAGGGACCUCCACGUCUAGCGCACCCUCCACGCCAUCCACGUCCAGCGCGUCCACGUCAGCGACCAGCGCGCUACACUGCUGCUCACUGUUGCUCGCCGGAGCAACGUCGUUGCCGUCGGACCCGGGGCAAGCCACCGGAGGAGCAGCACUGCCGCCACUGGACCCGGGGCAAGCCGCCGGAGGAGCAGCGCCGCCGCCACUGGACCCGGGCCAGGCCACCGGAGGAGCAGCGCCGCCGCCUCGGGAUCAGGGGAAGGCCACCAGAACCGUUUCGCCGCUGCUGCCGGACCCAUGGCCGCCCGCCGGAGCUGCAACGCUGCCGCCAUUGGAGGUGGAUGAACACAUGCGAGCAUGUCGCGGAGCUAGAGACUACAACUCCCAGAGGCCUCUAGGACAUGGGGAAAUGGCCUCUGGCGGAGGCGCGGCCAGUGGCGUGGGAAAUCGGGACAGGAAUUAUGAGGACGAGGGUGAGCAACCCAUGCAAAUAGGGCACUCCAGAUUAUCCCCUGAGGAGCGACAACGUCGGUGGAGGGCCGGUGAGUGCUUCUACUGCGGCCGCAGAGGCCAUAUUGCCAUCUCUUGUCCAGCGCAGCCAAAAGAUUGCACCCGCCAGUCGAGAGGAGAGUACGGGUGGGCGAGGUUUCCUGUUCACGGUCUCCUGAAUCAUUUCUUCAACAGAUUUGAUUCAGCCAUGAGGCAGUCUUCAACAGCGGCUGCAGACUCACCCACCCCCACUGCUGCUGUUCCACCUCUGACACCUCAGACAAUUCACACCUCCUCUACUCACCCUGCUCACUCCUCCCCACCCCCAACAACAGCAUCCAAUACACACUCAACACAAGCCUCCAGCCUGUCUCUACUCAACCACCCAGGUUAGGAGGGAACUGGGGAGGAUUAAAGCCAAGAUGGCAGCAGGCCCAGAUGGCAUCAGCUCAAGGGUCGUCAGGUCCUGCGCAGACCAACUGUGUGGGGUGAUGGAGCACCUCUUCAACCUGAGCCUGAGGCUGGGGAGAGUCCCACAGCUCUGGAAAACCUCCUGUGUUGUACCAGUGCCAAAGACUUCACGCCCCAAGGACCUCAACAGCUACAGGCCGGUGGCUCUUACAUCCCACCUGAUGAAGACCCUGGAGCGGCUGGUCCUGGAGCGGCUGGUCCUGGCUCAGCUUCAGCGUCUGGUGAGCUCAUCACUGGACCCACUUCAGUUUGCCUACCAGCCUGGCAUUGGAGCGGAUGAUGCCAUCAUUCACCUCCUACAUCAUUCCCUCGCUCACCUGGAGACCACUGGGAGCACUGUGAGAAUCAUGUUCUUUGAUUUCUCCAGUGCCUUCAACACUAUUCUUCCCAAGGUCCUGAAGGACAAGCUGGAGAACUCAGGAGUGGACCAUCACCUUACUACCUGGAUUUUGCAGUACCUCACCGACCGACCACAGUAUGUGAGGACUCAGGGCUGUGUGUCGGACAGGGUCGUCUGCAGUACGGGGGCCCCACAGGGAACGGUUCUGGCUCCGUUCCUCUUCACCAUCUACACUGCAGACUUCUCCCACAACUCCACCCAGUGCUUCCUGCAGAAGUUCUCUGAUGACUCUGCAAUAGUCGGCCUCAUCACUGAUGGGGACGACAAGGAGUACAGAGGACUGACCCAAGACUUUGUGGACUGGUGCCAGCUGAACUACCUCCAGAUCAACGCCAGUAAAACCAAGGAGCUGGUGGUAGACUUCCACAGGCACAAACAUCCUCCAUUGCAAUCACUGAACAUACAAGACAUUGAGGCUGUGGACAGCUACAGGUACCUUGGUGUUCAUCUGAACUACAAACUGGACUGGACUCAUUCAGACGCCCUCUACAGGAAAGGGCAGAGCAGGCUGUACCUGCUGCAGAGACUCAGGUCGUUUGGAGUAGAGGGCCCACUCCUGAAGACCUUCUAUGACUCUGUGGUGGCCUCAGCCACCUUUAAGGUGUGGUCUGCUGGGGUGGCAGCAUCUCUGCCAGGGACAGGAAGAGACUGAACAGGUUGAUCAGAAGGGCCAGCUCUGUUCUAGGAUGCCCUCUGGACCCAGUGGAGGUGGUGAGUGACAGGAGAAUGGUGGCUAAGCUGUCAUCCCUGCUGGACAACAUCUCCCACCCCAUGCAGGAGACUAUGACAGCACUGAGCAGCUCCUUCAGUGGCAGGCUGCGGCACCCACGGUGUGGGACGGAGAGAUUUCGCAGGUCUUUCCUCCCCACUGCUGUCAGACUCCACAACAAAGACUUCAACUGAUCAAACACACACAUGUGCAAUAACACUAAGUGCAAUACUCUUUUUCUGACAAAGCUGUAUUUUUACUCAGUUGUAUUGAUUUAUUGAUUUAUUGAUUAGCAUUCAAAUAUCUCAGUGAAUACAGAAUAAAGAUUACCACAAAGCAAGAAAGCACGAGACAAGGCUAAUCAAAAGGUAUUGGCUGAAGCAUUUGCUUAUUACGCCAGUUGUAUAAAGCAUUUGCAUUCUAUUUUUAUCCUAUUGUAUAUUUUAUUCUAUUUAUUCUACUGUAUAUAGUAUUUUAUUUUAUUCUAUUCUUUACAGUUGUGUACAGUAUUUUAUUCUUAUUGUAUUCUAAUUUUGCUAUAUAACUUUUGCACUGUCCACUUCCUGCUGUGACAAAACAAAUUUCCCACGUGUGGGACUAAUAAAGGUUAUCUUAUCUUAUCUCGUCUUAUCUUAUCUUAUCUCCACGUUUAAUGCUUGCGGCUAAGUUAACUGUUCACUCUGUUUCUCACCCGCUCCAUGCACUGAUUGAGUCUGGGGCAGAGCAAAAUUUCAUUGACGCCUCAUUUGCUCUCAAAGUUAAACAUGGAACCGCUUCCACACUCACUCCAAGUCACCGCCCCUCAGUGGUCAGCAUCUCCCGGAUAUCACCCACAUUACAGAGCCAAUAUCCUUUACCCUCUCUGGUAAUCACUCUGAAACUUUGUAGUUGUUUGUUUUCAAACCUCCUCUCACACCAUUAGUUUUAGGGUACCCCUGGUUACGUCAGCACAACUCUGUCCUGGACUGGAAGAAAGAAAGUAUUCUGGGGUGGGGAGAGGAAUGCCAUAUGUCCUGUCUAAAAGCCGCAACUCCACCCGUGAACCCGCAGAGUAACCCCCCACCUUCUGAGUCACCCGACCUUUCUUCUGUGCCUUCAGUCUAUCAUGAUCUUAAGCAGGUUUUUUGCGAAGAUAGAGCACGUUCACUUCCCCCUCACCGGCCCUACGUCUGCGGAAUCUACCUUCUCCCGGGCGCACCACUCCCAACCAGCAGAUUA